rnacentral:tRNA from 1 species
CGCGGUGCUGGUCGGCGGAGGAGAGCCGGCCGUAGAGCGGCAGCACCUCGGUGUGCGCGAGGUUGCGGCUGCGGAUCGCGUCCUCGGCGUCGCGG